UGCGCGGUGUGCUCUGUAAUGGGAUGGGAUCCGAAGCCCCUUUGAGGGAUAAUACAGGCUCUCCCAUCCAACUCCUAUUCCGACACGUCCUCGUCGUGCAGAGUGGUAACAUGUGUCACCACAUAUCCAUGCUUGGGUACACGGGCUUGAUCCAACCCCUUGGGCGAACCAGGAGGGGUGUGGGUAUCCCGGGAAAC
rnacentral:ribozyme from 1 species